rnacentral:rRNA from 1 species
GGAGUCUGGGCCGUGUCUCAGUCCCAAUGUGGCCGUUCAACCUCUCAGUCCGGCUACUGAUCGUCGGCUUGGUGAGCCGUUACCUCACCAACUACCUAAUCAGACGCGAGCCCAUCUCUCAGUGAUAAAUCUUUGAUAGAUAAGUCAUGCGGCUCAUCUAUGUCAUGAGGUAUUACCAUCCGUUUCCGGAAGCUAUCCCUCUCUGAAAGGCAGGUUGCUCACGUGUUACUCACCCGUCCGCCACUAUGUAUCAAAAGCAAGCUCUCAAUACACCGUUCGACUUGCAUGUGUUAGGCGUGCCGCCAGCGUUCAUC